rnacentral:rRNA from 1 species
GACGAACGCUGGCGGCGUGCCUAAUACAUGCAAGUAGAACGCACAGUUUAUACCGUAGCUUGCUACACCAUAGACUGUGAGUUGCGAACGGGUGAGUAACGCGUAGGUAACCUGCCUGGUAGCGGGGGAUAACUAUUGGAAACGAUAGCUAAUACCGCAUAAUAUUAAUUAUUGCAUGAUAAUUGAUUGAAAGAUGCAACUGCAUCACUACCAGAUGGACCUGCGUUGUAUUAGCUAGUAGGUGAGGUAACGGCUCACCUAGGCGACGAUACAUAGCCGACCUGAGAGGGUGAUCGGCCACACUGGGACUGAGACACGGCCCAGACUCCUACGGGAGGCAGCAGUAGGGAAUCUUCGGCAAAGGACGAAAGUCUGACCGAGCAACGCCGCGUGAGUGAAGAAGGUUUUCGGAUCGUAAAGCUCUGUUGUAAGAGAAGAACGGGUGUGAGAGUGGAAAGUUCACACUGUGACGGUAUCUUACCAGAAAGGGACGGCUAACUACGU